AGCACAUCCUAUCUAAAUAGACGGGAUCCUGUAAUUCGAAUGAAUUACUGUUUCUCCUGUUCUGUCUCUUUGCGGAGAGUGUUCAUCUUUACUUCUUGCAAGUUGUUUGAGGACUAAAACCAACUUUUUGAUAAUUAUUCCCAAACUAUUGCUGGCCUCCAUAAAGAACAAAAACGAACAACCAACCUCACCUGAGAGGACUUACACCACUCCUCCAAAAUGCAGAAGCUUCUGUAGUCACUGCUACUCACUGUGCAAAAAUAUUUUCCAUGUAUAAGGAAAAGCCCAGCCCUCAGCUCUUCUCACUCUGCAUUCACCCCUAGCCGUCUUCACCAUAAUCUAGGUUUCAUCAUGUGCCCAGCCCCAGUGGGACCCUCUGCUCGGCCUGCAUAACCAGGAAGCCAGCUGCCGUGUUAUUAGGUUACUUGGGGAGCCUGCAGAGAGGCUCACACGGUGAAGAACUGAAGUGUCCUGCCAGUUGCAGCAAGGAACUGAAGCCUGUCAACAACCACUUAGGUGAAUUUAGGAAAGAAUCCUCCCCAGCUGAGUGUUCAGAUGAGACUGCAGACCUGUCGAACAACUCACAGGCAACCUCAUGAGAGUCUGUGCAUAAGAACCACCCAACUAAACCGCUCCCAGAUGCCUGGCUCACAGGGCGGAAACUGUUGUUUCAAGGUGCUCCAUUUGGGUGUAACUUGUGAUGCAGCAAUAGAUAACAAAAAUCAAGCCCUGAGAUUUUUUCCCAAGUACUAAGCACUUCUCCUACCUUGGUCCACUCAGGUUGUUCCCACUGAGGGAAGAACAAUUCUCCUUAGCCUUCCAUACACAUUUGGGUCAAUACACUAAUUCCCCCUCUCUGGCUGGGGAGUAAGCUAUGUAGCUAAUUCACAAAUAUUUUCCCUUGACAUAUGUAUGUGGUUUCAGACAGUGCAUUUUUCAAAAGCCAAGACUGUCUCUCUUCCCUUUGUGCUAUCAUUUUUAUAUUCCCUUUAGCUUUUGGGCUCUUUCUCUCACAAUAAGUCAAUAGAAGCCAGAGAAUUUCAAGAGUUUGACUUCUCUCCUGGGCAGAAUAUUUAAGUCAUACAUUAUUGUUUGUUUUCAGGCAAACCCGUACAAUUAUGCAACAUAAAUUCUUUUAAAGCAUCUGGGACUUCAAUUCAAUUUAAAAUCCUGUGGGGUUUAUUACCAGAAUGAAUGAUUAUAAAAUAUAUGCAUGCAAAUGAAGAGAUAAAAAAAUUAAAGAGCAUAUGAAAUUUAAUGCACACUACUUGUAAUUCCAGGCCAAAUUGUUGCAAAAGACAGUGGCUAUACAAUACCAUGUAAAAAUGUGGUUUAUAAUAAUUUAUGACUUGAGAAUGUGGUUUUAAUAUUCUACUGUCAUGACUAUAUAUUAGAAUCCAGAGUAGAGAAUUAGUUUCUGGUGUUAAUAGGAGGGGGAAGGGAAGACAGGUUUACCCAAAGCUGUCAUCAGUUUUACUGUAAAAAUAAGGAACCUGACUUCACCCCAAUGGUACAGCAUAGUGAAAAGCUUGUAAAGAUGGAGGCACUCUGUUUUCCAGUGUUUUUAUUCUCAGAGUUCAUCUGGGGACAAUCUAAUUCAAUUACUAUUUGUUAAGUGUCAAAAAUGUGAAAAUAAAUAUAUUUGAGACUCUCGGGGAGUAAGAAUGGACGGAAUCAAGAUUAAGCCUUAAUACCUAACCUUGUAGACCACAUGAUCCAGAGAGACAGGCAAGUAUAUGCAUAAAGAAUCCAAACCAGAAUUGUGUGAACUCUUGCAGCAACCAAAUAACAGAUUCCCAUGCCCAGACCCAGACUCCUGUUCUGAUCCAUCUUCCAACCACUGCCUGAGUUAGUCACCCAAAAUAAAAAUUCACAUGUUUC